rnacentral:rRNA from 1 species
UGAGGAAUAUUGGUCAAUGGACGAGAGUCUGAACCAGCCAAGUAGCGUGAAGGAUGACUGCCCUAUGGGUUGUAAACUUCUUUUAUACGGGAAUAAAGUUAGGCACGUGUGCCUUUUUGUAUGUACCGUAUGAAUAAGGAUCGGCUAACUCCGUGCCAGCAGCCGCGGUAAUACGGAGGAUCCGAGCGUUAUCCGGAUUUAUUGGGUUUAAAGGGAGCGUAGGCGGAUGCUUAAGUCAGUUGUGAAAGUUUGCGGCUCAACCGUAAAAUUGCAGUUGAUACUGGGUGUCUUGAGUACAGUAGAGGCAGGCGGAAUUCGUGGUGUAGCGGUGAAAUGCUUAGAUAUCACGAAGAACUCCGAUUGCGAAGGCAGCUUGCUGGACUGUAACUGACGCUGAUGCUCGAAAGUGUGGGUAUCAAACAGG